AUGUCGGGAAAGAUUCCCUUCCGAACUUCCCGGGUCUUUGUUCGGGAGGAGGCCGGGGCGGGCGGGCUUCGCUGGGCGGAGGGCCGCGGGCUCGGCCGUGCGCUUCAUGGCGGCCACGGCCACGGCCACGGCGGCGGUGGCGGCGGCGCCCCCCCUCCAUCCCCCCCGCCGGCGCCCCCUCCCGGCCCGGCCCCCGGCCCCCAUCCCGGGUCCGCCCGGGCCCAGCGGGCUGCGGGGGGCGCCGAGGGCGAGGGCGGGGGAACGGGCGCCGCUUACCAGGUCAUCCCCGGGUGCCCCCGCGGUCCCGCCGGUGUCAAGUUCACGUCCGGCCCGCAGACUGUCCGAGGUCUGGGCGCAGCCGGGCAGAGCGAGGCCGCGGGAGGCCGCCGGCCCCGGGUCACCGCCGCCGCCGGCCCCGCGGCGCCGCUGUCACUUCGGUCCCGCGACCCCAACUUUCCGCACAGUCGCGGAGCUGGAAGUUUCCGGGCUUCGCGGGCGCUGGGCUGGGUUUCAGCAGCGACGUCUGAGCUUGGCAACAAAGAGGGAAAGCAGGCCUGGAGAGGGAGGAAAGAAAGAAAGACAUGGAGAGCGGCCCGGCUACUUAGAAGUCUCCAGAACUUGAAAUUCCACCCAGAAGCUUUUUUUGGUCGUUUCUUCUUAAGUGGGUCAGUCCUGGAGGGCCAGGCAGAGUUCGUGGAAGAGGCCACACCCUGGGGGCACCUGAGGUUGUCACCCUCCACCCACCUGGGAACUUCCGAACUUGCCAUGAGGCUGAGGACCUAGAGGAGGCCGGAGGACUGAAAAAUGCAUCCGGAGCUGUCUUCCUGAACGCUCAACCCAAGUGCUUUCUGAUGCGUGAUCACUGGUGCCCAAGUUGUCACCAGAUGGGAUGUCCCCUUGCUCCAUCAAAACUGCCAAGACCUUGUUCGGCCUGGCUUUAUGGGCCGGGAGCCUGCGCCGCCGCCCCUCGCUCUGGGCCCUCCUGUCCCUGUCUUAAAAUUCUUAAUCCUUUUUGAACGAGGGGCCCUACGCUUUCAUUUUGCAUUGGUCCCUGAGCUGUGUCCUAGUUUGGCUGCUGGUUAACAGCAGCGUAAAGUUAAAAAAAAAAACCAACCACCAUGAGUUGACGUUUCUUUUUUCUUAUGUUUUCUUUUUAAAAUUGUGAUG
rnacentral:lncRNA from 9 species